GACGAACGCUGGCGGCGUGCUUAACACAUGCAAGUCGAACGGAAAGGCCCUGCUUUUGUGGGGUGCUCGAGUGGCGAACGGGUGAGUAACACGUGAGUAACCUGCCCUUGACUUUGGGAUAACUUCAGGAAACUGGGGCUAAUACCGGAUAGGAGCUCCUGCUGCAUGGUGGGGGUUGGAAAGUUUCGGCGGUUGGGGAUGGACUCGCGGCUUAUCAGCUUGUUGGUGGGGUAGUGGCUUACCAAGGCUUUGACGGGUAGCCGGCCUGAGAGGGUGACCGGCCUCAUGGGGACUGAGAUACGGCCCAGACGGCUACGGGAGGCAGCAGUGGGGAAUAUUGCACAAUGGGCGGAAGCCUGAUGCAGCAACGCCGCGUGCGGGAUGACGGCCUUCGGGUUGUAAACCGCUUUCGCCUGUGACGAAGCGUGAGUGACGGUAAUGGGUAAAGAAGCACCGGCUAACUACGUG
rnacentral:rRNA from 1 species